rnacentral:rRNA from 1 species
UACAGAGGUCUCAAGCGUUGUUCGGAUUCAUUGGGCGUAAAGGGUGCGUAGGCGGCGUGGUAAGUCGGGUGUGAAAUCUCGGAGCUUAACUCCGAAACUGCAUUCGAUACUGCCGUGCUUGAGGACUGGAGAGGAGACUGGAAUUUACGGUGUAGCGGUGAAAUGCGUAGAUAUCGUAAGGAAGACCAGUGGCGAAGGCGGGUCUCUGGACAGUUCCUGACGCUGAGGCGCGAAGGCUAGGGGAGCAAACGGG